GAGAAGUGAGGCACAAAGGAGCUGCUGUUUUCCAGCACUGGUGAGCUGCAAGAAAAGUGUCACAGCCCCCAGCUCUGCUGUUUCUGUGCCUGUGGUGGAGGGGAGCUCUGAGCCUGCAGGAAAGCACAACUUGGGAAAAUCCUGAGCCUUGGAAUUGAUCAUUUAACAAGCAGCAGGUGGAAGCUGAGCUGGAAGGGAAAUGUGGCAGGAGCAGCUCCUGGGUGGAUUUUGUCUGUGAGGGAAUGGAGCAAAGCAGGAAUAAAGGAUGCAGAGCUUGCUC